UACGUAGGGUGCAAGCGUUGUCCGGAAUUACUGGGCGUAAAGAGCUCGUAGGCGGUUUGUCGCGUCGUCUGUGAAAACUCGAGGCUCAACCUCGAGCUUGCAGGCGAUACGAGCAGACUUGAGUACUGCAGGGGAGACUGGAAUUCCUGGUGUAGCGGUGAAAUGCGCAGAUAUCAGGAGGAACACCGGUGGCGAAGGCGGCAUCCUGGACCGAUACUGACGCUGAGGAGCGAAAGCCAGGGGAGCAAACGGG
rnacentral:rRNA from 1 species